rnacentral:rRNA from 1 species
AGAUUGAACGCUGGCGGCAGGCCUAACACAUGCAAGUCGAGCGGCAGCACGGGUACUUGUACCUGGUGGCGAGCGGCGGACGGGUGGGUAAUGCCUAGGAAUCUGCCUGAUAGUGGGGGAUAACGCUCGGAAACGGACGCUAAUACCGCAUACGUCCUACGGGAGAAAGCAGGGGACCUUCGGGCCUUGCGCUAUCAGAUGAG